GGAAAAUAUUGUCUCACACCAUAGCAUAAUUAACAAACAUUACAUACAUGAUGACAUUUUAUUUUAUAAUUCUUACAAAAUGUUCUAGUAAUUAAAUUAAAGUAGCAAGAGUUUUAAUCACUAAUAUUACACCUUUGCCAUUAUAAAAUUUAUAUAUAUUGCUUCCCAUUAUUAACAGCAACUAUAGCACUCAUAGUUAUUGCCGUUGCAACAACCAUUGCGGCAGUACCCUACACCACCACCACGUCCACCGCCAGGGUAUCCA
rnacentral:misc_RNA from 1 species